CUGUUCAGAUAGCCAUGCAUGUCUAAGUAUAAACAACUUUAUACUGUGAAACUGCGAAAGGCUCAUUAUAUCAGUUAUAGUUUAUUUGAUGGUCCUUGCUACUUGGAUAACCGUAGUAAUUCUAGAGCUAAUACAUGCAUUAAACCCCGACUUCUGGAAGGGGUGUAUUUAUUAGAUGGAAACCAAUGCGGGGUAACCCGGAAUAUGGUGAUUCAUAAUAACUUUCGGAUCGAUUUAUCGAUGCAUCAUUCAAGUUUCUGCCCUAUCAGCUUUGGAUGGUAGGGUAUUGGCCUACCAUGGCUUUGACGGGUAACGGAGAAUUAGGGUUCGAUUCCGGAGAGGGAGCCUGAGAAAUGGCUACUACAUCCAAGGAAGGCAGCAGGCGCGUAAAUUACCCAAUCCUGACACAGGGAGGUAGUGACAAUAAAUAACAAUGCCGGGCCUUUCAAGGUUUGGCAAUUGGAAUGAGAACAAUUUAAAUCCCUUAUCGAGGAUCAAUU
rnacentral:rRNA from 1 species